GAGGAGCCUGUGACCGCCUGGGUCAGUGGCGCUCCCGCCGCCGGAGGUCACGUGGCAGUUACGCGCGCUGGACGACCUCCUCCAACCUCGCGAGAAGAGCUUAGCCGCUUAGCCGAGGCCCUUAACCCAGCUGGAGAGCUCACGUGGGCACGUGUUGGAUGUUGUCCUCAUUCUCGAAGGACCGGAAGAGGCUGGCUGGUUCUCCCGAGGUCCGGGGUGUUCAGGAAACACCCAUGCUGGCGUCAUCCCGAAGUCGCCUGGAAUUCCAGACUUGCAGUGUUCACUAGAGGAGAAAUAGUCCACGUCCUACAAACUCCUGGCUUCCUAGUGGAGAAGUAAGAUUCUAGAAUCUGGAUCAAGUGGAAUGAAAUUCAGUUUCUACACAAACCAAAAGGUGACUAACGUGUUUUCAUGACUUAUCAUUUUACUGCUCAAGAUUUCACAGAGAAAGCAGGUAGUUUAAAUUGAGCUUUCAUGUGCAAUCUGGAAGUUAUACUCAG
rnacentral:lncRNA from 1 species